CUUGGGCCUCUGUGUCAUCUCUCGACUUUAACGCCAUCUUCUUAGGAACCUCUGCGCCAUGAGAGCCAAGUGGAGGAAGAAGCGAAUGCGCAGACUGAAGCGUAAAAGAAGAAAGAUGAGACAGAGGUCCAAGUAAAACAGCUCGUACACCCAUGGAGGCCAAAAGAACAGAAAGAAUGCUGUAGGCUGACAGUGCUCGUGCAAGUUUUGGACAGCGUGCUGGAUUAGAACUUCAUUGCCAUCUGAUCGCCAACACCACCUCAAAGAGAUCCACCUGGCUCCAACUAAGCAGUCUCCUGGUUUCUUCUGCCCCAGACCUGUGGCAUUCUGGGCUACUACUGUUCUCUCUUUUGG